UAGAGUUUGAUCAUGGCUCAGAUUGAACGCUGGCGGCAGGCCUAACACAUGCAAGUCGAACGGUAACAGGAAGCAGCUUGCUGUUUCGCUGACGAGUGGCGGACGGGUGAGUAAUGUCUGGGAAACUGCCUGAUGGAGGGGGAUAACUACUGGAAACGGUAGCUAAUACCGCAUAACGUCGCAAGACCAAAGAGGGGGACCUUCGGGCCUCUUGCCAUCGGAUGUGCCCAGAUGGGAUUAGCUAGUAGGUGGGGUAACGGCUCACCUAGGCGACGAUCCCUAGCUGGUCUGAGAGGAUGACCAGCCACACUGGAACUGAGACACGGUCCAGACUCCUACGGGAGGCAGCAGUGGGGAAUAUUGCACAAUGGGCGCAAGCCUGAUGCAGCCAUGCCGCGUGUAUGAAGAAGGCCUUCGGGUUGUAAAGUACUUUCAGCGGGGAGGAAGGGAGUAAAGUUAAUACCUUUGCUCAUUGACGUUACCCGCAGAAGAAGCACCGGCUAACUCCGUGCCAGCAGCCGCGGUAAUACA
rnacentral:rRNA from 1 species